rnacentral:rRNA from 1 species
AUGGCAAGGAGCGAGUUUGAAGUGUCGGCCUACCUUCGGAAUGACCACCUCGAGAUCGAAUGCAUCAUCACUGUCAUGAAAAAAGUGCGGGUGUCUGAAACCAGGGUACCCCUGUCCGGCAUCGCUGCGCAGCUUGCCAAGAUGUUGGAAGCAAAUGAUAUUCCAGCGGACAUCAAAUUCAACGUUGGAGGGGUGGUCUUCGGAGCACACAAGCUUGUCCUUGCUAUACGAUCACCUGUGUUCAAGGCAGAGUUCUAUGGGCCGAUGAAGGAGACAGGAACGCCGUUCAUAACCAUCAAGGACAUGCAACCUGAUGUCUUCAAGGCCCUGCUCCAUUUCAUCUACACCGAUUCAUUGCAGAUCACGGAUGAUCUCGAGGGAAAUGAUCGCGCUGAGAUGGUCCAGCACUUGCUCGUGGCUGCUGAUCGGUAUGAUAUGGAAAAGCGAAAACCGGUAUGUGAGAGAAUCCUUUGCGAUAAUUUUGAUGUGGAGAAUGUUGCAACUAUGCUGGCUUUAGCAGAUCAACAUCGUUGUGACAUUCUAAAUGAUGCUUGUGUUGGAUUUAUCUCCUCUCAAAAGAUUAUGGACUCUGUAGCGGCAACCCAAGGGUACGCGGAUCUCAAAAGAAGUGGUCCGUCUAUCCUUGUAGAUGCACAGUUGAAGAUUAUGCGGAGACUCUACAAAAACUUAGAUCAGCAGGUGACUGCGAGAUGA